rnacentral:tRNA from 1 species
UGGGGAUAUGGCUCAGUGGUAGAGUGUUUGCCUAGCAUGCAUGAAGCCCUGGGUUCAAUCCUCAAAAAAAACCUUAU